UAUAAAUGCGGUUGUGGAUUGUCGUGUCCAACAUUUAACCCUCCGUUUCAUUUGAAAAAAAUUAUGACUAAUAUUUUUGUUGUUAUUAGAUGAUAAAGCAUGAAUAGUAUUUUCUGUGUGACUUUUUUAGUUUUUUCAUAAAUUUUUUUAAAUAAGACGGACGGUUAAACGUUGGACACGGAAAUCCACAACUGUACUUAUA
rfam:Oryza glaberrima chromosome 4 Oglab04_0163_3, whole genome shotgun sequence.